UACAGAGGGGGCAAGCGUUAUUCGGAAUUAUUGGGCGUAAAGGGCGCGUAGGCGGCCUUUCAAGUGACGGGUGAAAGCCCUCGGCUUAACCGAGGAACUGCCUGUCAGACUGGAAGGCUUGAGACCGGGAGAGGUGAGUGGAAUUCCCAGUGUAGCGGUGAAAUGCGUAGAGAUCGGGAGGAACACCAGAGGCGAAGGCGGCGACCUGGACAGGUACUGACACUAAACUACGAAAGCGUGGGGAGCAAACAGG
rnacentral:rRNA from 1 species